CCCUUACCACUAUAUGUUCUUCAGUAUAUACUCAAUAAAUUUGACAGGUUUUUAAAGAAACUGUCUAGAUGAGAUCUUAAAAGCAUUUAUGCAUCAGCUUCAAUCAUAAAGUCAUAUGGAUACAUAUCUGUAUAAAAAGCUGAUCUUGGCCUCUUGAUACAGAGUUUCAUUAUAUAAUGCAUUUGGAGUUGCAAAAUAUUUCCAUUAAAAUGAUCGACCCACUAAAAGAAAGCUACAGAGCCUGCAAAGUCAUCCUGGCCAGACUGUAGAACUCUGAAAGU